GGUCAAGUGAAGAAGCGCAUACGGUGGAUGCCUUGGCAGUCAGAGGCGAUGAAAGACGUGGUAGCCUGCGAAAAGCUUCGGGGAGUCGGCAAACAGACUUUGAUCCGGAGAUGUCUGAAUGGGGGAACCCAGCCAUCAUAAGAUGGUUAUCUUACGCUGAAUACAUAGGCGUAAGAGGCGAACCAGGGGAACUGAAACAUCUAAGUACCCUGAGGAAAAGAAAUCAACCGAGAUUCCCUUAGUAGUGGCGAGCGAACGGGGACUAGCCCUUAAGUGGCUUUGAGAUUAGCGGAACGCUCUGGAAAGUGCGGCCAUAGUGGGUGAUAGCCCUGUACGCGAAAAUCUCUUAGUCAUGAAAUCGAGUAGGACGGAGCACGAGAAACUUUGUCUGAAUAUGGGGGGACCAUCCUCCAAGGCUAAAUACUACUGACUGACCGAUAGUGAACUAGUACCGUGAGGGAAAGGCGAAAAGAACCCCGGAGAGGGGAGUGAAAUAGAUCCUGAAACCGUAUGCGUACAAGCAGUGGGAGCCCACUUUGUUGGGUGACUGCGUACCUUUUGUAUAAUGGGUCAGCGACUUAUUUUCAGUGGCGAGCUUAACCGAAUAGGGGAGGCGUAGCGAAAGCGAGUCUUAAUAGGGCGUCUAGUCGCUGGGAAUAGACCCGAAACCGGGCGAUCUAUCCAUGGGCAGGUUGAAGGUUGGGUAACACUAACUGGAGGACCGAACCGACUACCGUUGAAAAGUUAGCGGAUGACCUGUGGAUCGGAGUGAAAGGCUAAUCAAGCUCGGAGAUAGCUGGUUCUCCUCGAAAGCUAUUUAGGUAGCGCCUCAUGUAUCACUGUAGGGGGUAGAGCACUGUUUCGGCUAGGGGGUCAUCCCGACUUACCAAACCGAUGCAAACUCCGAAUACCUACAAGUGCCGAGCAUGGGAGACACACGGCGGGUGCUAACGUCCGUCGUGAAAAGGGAAACAACCCAGACCGUCAGCUAAGGUCCCAAAGUUAUGGUUAAGUGGGAAACGAUGUGGGAAGGCUUAGACAGCUAGGAGGUUGGCUUAGAAGCAGCCACCCUUUAAAGAAAGCGUAAUAGCUCACUAGUCGAGUCGGCCUGCGCGGAAGAUGUAACGGGGCUCAAACCAUACACCGAAGCUACGGGUAUCACGUAAGUGAUGCGGUAGAGGAGCGUUCUGUAAGCCUGUGAAGGUGAGUUGAGAAGCUUGCUGGAGGUAUCAGAAGUGCGAAUGCUGACAUGAGUAACGACAAUGGGUGUGAAAAACACCCACGCCGAAAGACCAAGGUUUCCUGCGCAACGUUAAUCGACGCAGGGUUAGUCGGUCCCUAAGGCGAGGCUGAAAAGCGUAGUCGAUGGAAAACAGGUUAAUAUUCCUGUACUUCUGGUUAUUGCGAUGGAGGGACGGAGAAGGCUAGGCCAGCUUGGCGUUGGUUGUCCAAGUUUAAGGUGGUAGGCUGAGAUCUUAGGUAAAUCCGGGAUCUUAAGGCCGAGAGCUGAUGACGAGUGUUCUUUUAGAACACGAAGUGGUUGAUGCCAUGCUUCCAAGAAAAGCUUCUAAGCUUGAGGUAACCAGGAACCGUACCCCAAACCGACACAGGUGGUUGGGUAGAGAAUACCAAGGCGCUUGAGAGAACUCGGGUGAAGGAACUAGGCAAAAUGGCACCGUAACUUCGGGAGAAGGUGCGCCGGUGAGGGUGAAGGACUUGCUCCGUAAGCUCAUGCCGGUCGAAGAUACCAGGCCGCUGCGACUGUUUAUUAAAAACACAGCACUCUGCAAACACGAAAGUGGACGUAUAGGGUGUGACGCCUGCCCGGUGCCGGAAGGUUAAUUGAUGGGGUUAGCUAACGCGAAGCUCUUGAUCGAAGCCCCGGUAAACGGCGGCCGUAACUAUAACGGUCCUAAGGUAGCGAAAUUCCUUGUCGGGUAAGUUCCGACCUGCACGAAUGGCGUAACGAUGGCGGCGCUGUCUCCACCCGAGACUCAGUGAAAUUGAAAUCGCUGUGAAGAUGCAGUGUAUCCGCGGCUAGACGGAAAGACCCCGUGAACCUUUACUAUAGCUUUGCACUGGACUUUGAAUUUGCUUGUGUAGGAUAGGUGGGAGGCUUUGAAGCGUGGACGCCAGUCUGCGUGGAGCCAACCUUGAAAUACCACCCUGGCAACUUUGAGGUUCUAACUCAGGUCCGUUAUCCGGAUCGAGGACAGUGUAUGGUGGGUAGUUUGACUGGGGCGGUCUCCUCCUAAAGAGUAACGGAGGAGUACGAAGGUGCGCUCAGACCGGUCGGAAAUCGGUCGUAGAGUAUAAAGGCAAAAGCGCGCUUGACUGCGAGACAGACACGUCGAGCAGGUACGAAAGUAGGUCUUAGUGAUCCGGUGGUUCUGUAUGGAAGGGCCAUCGCUCAACGGAUAAAAGGUACUCCGGGGAUAACAGGCUGAUACCGCCCAAGAGUUCAUAUCGACGGCGGUGUUUGGCACCUCGAUGUCGGCUCAUCACAUCCUGGGGCUGAAGCCGGUCCCAAGGGUAUGGCUGUUCGCCAUUUAAAGUGGUACGCGAGCUGGGUUUAGAACGUCGUGAGACAGUUCGGUCCCUAUCUGCCGUGGACGUUUGAGAUUUGAGAGGGGCUGCUCCUAGUACGAGAGGACCGGAGUGGACGAACCUCUGGUGUUCCGGUUGUCACGCCAGUGGCAUUGCCGGGUAGCUAUGUUCGGAAUAGAUAACCGCUGAAAGCAUCUAAGCGGGAAACUAGCCUCAAGAUGAGAUCUCACUGGAACCUUGAGUUCCCUGAAGGGCCGUCGAAGACUACGACGUUGAUAGGUUGGGUGUGUAAGCGCUGUGAGGCGUUGAGCUAACCAAUACUAAUUGCCCGUGAGGCUUGACCAUAUAACACCCA
rnacentral:rRNA from 1 species